AGUGAACGCUGGCGGUAGGCCUAACACAUGCAAGUCGAACGGCAGCACAGUAAGAGCUUGCUCUUACGGGUGGCGAGUGGCGGACGGGUGAGGAAUACAUCGGAAUCUACUUUUUCGUGGGGGAUAACGUAGGGAAACUUACGCUAAUACCGCAUACGACCUACGGGUGAAAGCAGGGGAUCUUCGGACCUUGCGCGAUUGAAUGAGCCGAUGUCGGAUUAGCUAGUUGGCGGGGUAAAGGCCCACCAAGGCGACGAUCCGUAGCUGGUCUGAGAGGAUGGACGGCCACACGGAAAACGGGACAGGGUCCACACCCCCAGGGGGGGAAGGAGGGGGGAAUUUGGGAAAAGGGGGGCAGGCCGGAUCCAGCCAUGCCGGGGGGGGAAAGAAGGCCUGGGGGUUGAAAAGCCUUUUUUUGGGAAAAAAAAAGCAGCAGGUUAAUACCCCGCUGUUCUGAGGGGACCAAAAGAAAAAGCCCGGGCUAACUUCG
rnacentral:rRNA from 1 species